ensembl:lncRNA
GGAGAAGGGAGUAGACAGGCUCGCCAGCCUGCACGAAGGGCGAAUUCGAGAUCGAUGUGAGGGAAUUAAAGCGAGACCAGUCACCAUGUUUGCAAGUUUCCCUUCAUCCUCCUUCAGCUUAACAGGCGCUGCCAUGGUUUAACCAAGUUCAAGGUUUUCCCAGGCAAAUACAGUAAAGUGAGAGGGCGGCGAGGGAGCUGAAAACCUGCCCGAGAUUUCAAAUCUCUUGGCUGGAUACAUGCAGUGCAUCAGAAAAAGCAGCUAGUUCAUGAUAAGCUGGAUUCUCCAGGAUCAUCGUCCAGAGGUCUGCACGAGGCAGACCAGCCUCACCGCGGCUUUGACUCUGCGUCCACCACCUCCUGCCUUUCGUGGCCACAAAAUUAAAAGACACUUGUUCCUUGGAAGGAAAGCUAUGACAAACCUGGACAUCACUUUGCCAACAAAGGUCUGUACAGUCAAAGCUAUGGUUUUUCCAGUAGUCAUGUAUGGAUGUGAGAGUUGAACCAUAAAGAAAGACCAAAGACUUGAUGUUUCUGUAUUAUGGUGCUGGAGAAGACUCUUGAGAAUCCCUCGGACUGCAAGGAAAUCAAACCAGUCAAUCCUAAAGGAAAUCAGUCCUGAAUAUUCACUGGACGGACUGAUGCUGAAGCUGAAACUCCAAUACUUUGGCCACCUGUUGCGAAGGAUGAACUCAUUGGAAAAGAUCUCGAUGCUGGGAAAGAUUGAAGGCGGGAGAAUGGGACGACAGAGGAAGAGAUGGUUGGAUGGCAUCACCAACUCAAUGGACAAAAGUUUGUGCAAACUCUGGGAGAUGGUGAAGGAUAG